rnacentral:lncRNA from 12 species
GGAAUGCUUAAGGCAGAAAUAUACAGAGAGAGCAAAUUUCUCUCUGUGCUUAAUUAAAAAAAAAUAAAAAAAAGCAAUAACAGCCAUUCAGGCAGGUAAUCUAUGGUAUUCCUUAUUGAGGUGGUGGCACACUUGCUCACGGAAUUUCAAUUUUGUCUUUUGAUUGUUUAUUUCAUGCCAAAGGAUUUUUUACUGUUGGAUUUUAGUCAAACCUGGCUGCUGGAGAAUGGCCGAGUUCUUAAAGUCUUGAGCUCACAAAUCCCUAGGGACUUGCUUGCUUUUAUACCUGGGAGCUUGAGGCAGCUACGCAAGUGGGGGAAACUCAAAAUAUUGCACUGAGUGAAAUUGCUCUUCUCCACAAUGAUCCUGAGAGGUGAGAAAGCCACAACUUGAAUAUAAAACCAGCGUUUGGUAUGAGGCAGGUGAGUGCCUGGUGCAUCUUCCACGGUCAGUUUUGAUCUCCAGGAAGGUUUUCCAUCUAUUUAUCUCUGGGUAUUGAAGGAUGAGAGCUC